GUAGUCUGCGUUGAGGCAGACAUCAAAUGGCU
rnacentral:scRNA from 1 species